rnacentral:rRNA from 1 species
GAUGAACGCUGGCGGCGUGCUUAACACAUGCAAGUCGAACGGAAAGGCCCAAGCUUGCUUGGGUACUCGAGUGGCGAACGGGUGGGUAACACGUGGGUGAUCUGCCCUGCACUUCGGGAUAAGCCUGGGAAACUGGGUCUAAUACCGGAUAGGACGAUGGUUUGGAUGCCAUUGUGGAAAGUUUUUUCGGUGUGGGAUGAGCUCGCGGCCUAUCAGCUUGUUGGUGGGGUAAUGGCCUACCAAGGCGUCGACGGGUAGCCGGCCUGAGAGGGGGUACGGCCACAUGGGGACUGAGAUACGGCCCAGACUCCUACGGGAGGCAGCAGUGGGGAAUAUUGCACAAUGGGCGCAAGCCUGAGGCAGCGACGCCGCGUGGGGGAUGACGGCCUUCGGGUUGUAAACUCCUUUCGCUAGGGACGAAGCGUUUUUGUGACGGUACCUGGAGAAGAAGCACCGGCUAACUACGUG